GAGAUUUGAGGUGAAGGACUGCUUUGCGUUGUCUGCUCUUCAUUAGGUAACUUAUACUACACAUAUUUAUUCCCUGGUGUGGCGUUUGCCCUCCUAGGUGUGUGACAUCAUGCUGGGUCAUAAGGAAAGGGCUAACUAAGUGUAAAAUGAUUAACCAAUAGGAACCCAAGGGGAGGAGUUAGAGUUAGAGUUGUUAAGAAAUCAGUCUGGCAUUAGAGAAGGGAGAGGGAGGAUAAGUCUGUGGGUUGGGCUAGUUUGAUGUGAGAGAGUGAGAGAAUCUGUUAAGAGGAGUCAGUUAAACAGUUGGGAUACUCAGUUAGAAGGUAUUAGGAAGGUAUAGGCCGGUAAAGAAACUAAGGUUAAGAAACUGACAAGAAAAAUUAUCUGAAACCAUAAACUUGUUAAUGCUUAUAAAAUAAACUUGUUUAUUUGGUUUAAUGUUAACAACUGUCUGGACUCAGUGUGUAGAGAAACGGGUUGGUGGCAGCGCGGAAGCGAUCACAGUGGUGGCACAGGGAUCAAUAGACCGUCAAAUGUCCGGGGACCCUGUGUGAUCGCCACACCUGGACUCAGGGUGUUAAUGCUUUAGGUCACCCAAUGGUCUUCUGCUGUCAUCAUCAGCCAACAGAGGUAAGG